AAACUUUCAACAAUGGAUCUCUUGGCUCUCGCAUCGAUGAAGAACGCAGCGAAAUGCGAUAAGUAAUAUGAAUUGCAGAAUUCCGUGAAUCAUCAAAUCUUUGAACGCAAAUUGCACUUCUUGGUAUUCCGAGGAGUACACAUGCUUGAGGGUCAGUU
rnacentral:rRNA from 1 species